rnacentral:rRNA from 2 species
UACAGAGGGUGCAAGCGUUAAUCGGAAUUACUGGGCGUAAAGCGUGUGUAGGUGGUUAGAUAAGUUAGAUGUGAAAUCCCCGGGCUUAACCUGGGCACUGCGUUUAAGACUGUUUAACUAGAGUGCUGUAGAGGGUAGUGGAAUUUCCAGUGUAGCGGUGAAAUGCGUAGAUAUUGGAAGGAACACCAGUGGCGAAGGCGACUACCUGGACAGACACUGACACUGAGACACGAAAGCGUGGGGAGCAAACAGG